CAGAGUUAUCCAACUCCCAAACCCAUGUGAACUUAUCUCUUUGUUGCCAUCGGCGCAAGCUACCCGGGACCUCGCGCCCCGGGCGGCCCGCCGGCGGACAAACCAAAACUCUUGUUAUCUUAGUUGAUUAUCUGAGUGUCUUAUUUAAUAAGUCA
rnacentral:misc_RNA from 1 species